AGCAACCUUCGGCCCAUAGGCCCAAGCUGAAUGUUGCGAGCUCUACUUAACUCAGUAUGAAACUUCGUACGCGAAGACGCUUCAACUUCGCCACUUCUUCCACCUACAUCGUCUUCCCCGAUCUUGUGAACUGAAACGGACGCAACUAUGAACCAUUUCGCCCCCGGAAUAAGCACACGUCCAAGAAAUCUUCAGAUUAACAAAACCGAUACGAAGUCGAUGCGAACAAAGCGAAGAAAUAUGGAUUUGAAAACACCUCCAACAGUCGUGUUACACGUUAAACUCCAAAUUUGAACCAACUCCAAAUGCGCAGCAGCGAAAUGAAGCGAGCGACACAAGAAGAUGGUAGAGAACUUACCGGAUUCAGAUCGCGACGUAGUUGCGAAACAGGUAUCUCGCUUCUUCUUGGGUGCUUGCUAGGUUUUUGAUGGUUUUGCCUUGAUGUUUGCUUGCCAUGUAUGUGAAAAACUGGUCUGCUAUUGCAGGAUUAUGGUUCUUUCUUGAUUUUUAAUGUAUAAUUAUAUGUUGCAGGAUUGUUAGUGAUACCAUGGCAAUGUAUGAUUUGGGAUUGUGGUUUGUAAGGUGGAUGGCUCGAUUUUGGGAAAUGGUGUUAUCUGGUUUGCUUAAUGCUCAUUAUGCCUUGCUCAAAUUACUGCAGGUUCGAGCCCCAUCCAAGUUGGGUGCAAAUGCGAUAUUGGCUCAUAAGGAUGGUCACAACCGUUUUUUAUUUUGGACACAAACCAAAGCAACAAGCAAAAGUGAUUAGUAUGGUGUAUGAUAGUUAUGAUGCUGGUAUAAAAUUUAUGUUGAUCUGUUAUGAAGCUGCAGAAUUUGGUUAUGUGGUUAAUUCAUUUAGUGAGGAGGGUCUAGAAUGGAAUGAAGUUUUUGAUGUUAGUUUGCUUGGUUGGUCUGUAGCAUUUUUUUGGCAUUAUGCAAGAUGAUUGUAUGUGCAAUGUUAUGUUGGAUAAUGAACGUUAGUGAGCUAGCUUCAUGCUAAAUGAACUGGUGAUGAUCUUGUUAAAACCUAUGUUAUGAAUGCAAUGCUGUUAGUAUUUUGUUAUGCAGUUUGUAUUGUUAAUGCCGCAUGUUAUUGUUGUUCUGCUGAUGCACGUUGUUGUUAAUUGUUCAUGGCUUGAUUGAAUGCAGGGUUUAAGUGUAUGUUAUACUGAAUUGUUUUGCCUGCUGAUGAUAGGUUUGUGCUUGGCCUGCUUGAAUGAUGUUGUCAUGAUUGCAGGCUUAUGUGUUGCAUUACAAGUUUGUUGGAUUGAUUGUCAUGUUAAUAUGCAAUGUCAGUGUGUUGCCAGGCAGACUGCCUACUUGUGUUUACUGGUGAUGUUGUAUUACAUGCCAGGCUUGACGUUGUUCCCAUUAGUUGCCUAUGACCGAGUUGUUAGCAUGAAUGCUCAUCAUGAAAUUGGAUCGAUAUGUAGGGUUUUGAUGCCAUGUAUACUUGCCACAUUAACAUACUUGAAUGCACGUGUUUGCACUAUUGUAACUGAUUCAAUGAUUUGAUGCAUGACUGAAUGGAUGCAAGGCUAUGAAGCUUGGUCAUGUUUGACAUUUGGCAUGAAAUUUCAAGUGAGAUCAUGAUAAUGGUUUGAAGGAACAAUGGUUUGAAGGAACAAUGGUUAAUUGUUCAUGAAGAAAGAUGUUACCAUGCUAUCCAAUGGAAUGAAUGCAAGGAUGAAGACACAAUAGAUCCUUAGGAUUAGGAAUUUGGAAUUUUAGGUCAAUUGACCAAAAAGUCAACUUUGGUCAAAUUUGCAUUUUUUAUUUUGUAUUUUCUUGUAUGGAACUUGGAAAAGGAUGAUCAUAACAAUUAUAUGAAUGAAUGAAUAAUGUUUUGAAUUCA